UCCGUUAUGGUGUAGUGGCUAACAUUAUCGCCUCUCAUAGUUGAUCUAUCACGGGAGAACGCGAUAGCCCAGGGUUCGAUUCCCUGUAACGGAA